rnacentral:lncRNA from 1 species
GCACCCUGCCCUCACCUGGGGGCUUCAUUGCAGGGAGACCCCCCUGAGCUGAUGGAGACAGCUGAGCCCCCAGCGCUGAUGGAGGAGGGACCCAGUCCCAUGUCCCAGCUGGCAAGGAAGGUGCAGGGGGUGGGUGCCCGGGGCUGGCGGACGCUUUCAUCCCUCUUCACCCGUGAGGAUGAGCACCAGCUGCUCAGCCCGGAGCCCUGCGCAGACCACCCGCUGGCUGCCGAGCCGCCCCCGUCUGAGAACGCGCCCAGCUUUUGGGAUCUCUUUGCUACCAAGUGGCAGCAGGCGUCAGGGCCGGACAAGGAGGCGCCCCCCCCGGAGCCGGGUGAGAGCCCUGGGGAGCCGCCGGGUGACGAUGGCAGCGACCUACGGGAGCCAGAGGAAGGGGCCUUCCACUGGGGCUUCCUGGCCAGCAAACUGGCUGAAAUCCGGAAUAAAAAUGCCCCCAAGGGCAACUAGAGGAGAAUGUGCUGGCCAGACUCUCCAGCAGUGUGAGUGCCCCCCCCUACUGCUGGUGGGCAGCCCCCUGCCCACAGCUGAGAGCUCCUUGGGGGGGUUUGGCUAUGUGUCUGCACUAAAGACCCCGAGGUGCCCCUUUUCCUCGAGCCCUGCCUGGUGCUUUUUUUGCCCUCACCCUCCCCCCAGCAGCCCAGCGCCCCUGGAGCAGUGCAGCCCCCACGGUGGGGAUGGGGAGCUGCCACCCCCGGCCUCGAAGUAUC